CCUGCGGGGGGCUGCAGUGGGGAAUAUUGGACAAUGGGCGAAAGCCUGAUCCAGCCAUGCCGCGUGUGUGAAGAAGGCCUUCGGGUUGUAAAGCACUUUCAGUGGGGAAGAAAGCCUUGGGGCUAAUACCCUCGAGGAAGGACAUCACCCACAGAAGAAGCACCGGCUAACUCCGUGCCAGCAGCCGCGGUAAUACGGAGGGUGCGAGCGUUAAUCGGAAUUACUGGGCGUAAAGCGCGCGUAGGCGGUCUGAUAAGCCGGUUGUGAAAGCCCCGGGCUCAACCUGGGAACGGCAUCCGGAACUGUCAGGCUAGAGUGCAGGAGAGGAAGGUAGAAUUCCCGGUGUAGCGGUGAAAUGCGUAGAGAUCGGGAGGAAUACCAGUGGCGAAGGCGGCCUUCUGGACUGACACUGACGCUGAGGUGCGAAAGCGUGGGUAGCAAACAGGAUUAGAUACCCUAGUAGUC
rnacentral:rRNA from 1 species